CCUACGGGAGGCAGCAGUGAGGAAUAUUGGUCAAUGGGCGAGAGCCUGAACCAGCCAAGUCGCGUGAGGGAGUACUGCCCUAUGGGUUGUAAACCUCUUUUGUCGGGGAGCAAAAGCCGGACGUGUCCGGCUGUGAGAGUACCCGAAGAAAAAGCAUCGGCUAACUCCGUGCCAGCAGCCGCGGUAAUACGGAGGAUGCGAGCGUUAUCCGGAUUUAUUGGGUUUAAAGGGUGCGCAGGCGGAUUUUUAAGUCAGCGGUAAAAUCGUGGGGCUCAACCCCAUCCAGCCGUUGAAACUGGGGAUCUAGAGUGUGCGAGAGGUAUGCGGAAUGCGUGGUGUAGCGGUGAAAUGCAUAGAUAGCACGCAGAACCCCGAUUGCGAAGGCAGCAUACCGGUGCACAACUGACGCUCAGGCACGAAAGCGUGGGUAUCGAACAGGAUUAGAUACCCGUGUAGUC
rnacentral:rRNA from 1 species